GACGAACGCUGGCGGCGUGCCUAAUACAUGCAAGUCGAGCGAAUGACGAGGAGCUUGCUCCUUUGAUUUAGCGGCGGACGGGUGAGUAACACGUGGGUAACCUACCCUAUAGACUGGGAUAACUUCGGGAAACCGGAGCUAAUACCGGAUAAUACUUUUGAACACAUGUUCGAAAGUUGAAAGAUGGUUUCGGCUAUCACUAUAGGAUGGACCCGCGGCGCAUUAGCUAGUUGGUGAGGUAACGGCUCACCAAGGCAACGAUGCGUAGCCGACCUGAGAGGGUGAUCGGCCACACUGGGACUGAGACACGGCCCAGACUCCUACGGGAGGCAGCAGUAGGGAAUCUUCCACAAUGGACGAAAGUCUGAUGGAGCAACGCCGCGUGAGUGAAGAAGGAUUUCGGUUCGUAAAACUCUGUUGCAAGGGAAGAACAAGUAGCGUAGUAACUGGCGCUACCUUGACGGUACCUUGUUAGAAAGCCACGGCUAACUACGUGCCAGCCGCCGCAGUAAUAC
rnacentral:rRNA from 1 species